AAUGCGGAGUUGACGGGGCUCGAACCCGCGGCCUCCUGCGUGACAGGCAGGCGCUCUAACCAAACUGAGCUACAACUCCA
rnacentral:tRNA from 1 species